UAGAUCGCUGGAGAUGACCUGUGUUCAUGAUGCAUCCCCAGUUCAACAUUUCCUGUGGAAUUUCAAUUUCCUCAUCUCUUCCCAUGGCUUUGACUAGGAAUGGCUACCACCAACUCUCAGAUUCUUAGAGUGAUUCUUCUCAUGAAUCACAGAUUGAUUGAGGUUGGAACAGACCUCUACAGGUCAUCUGGUCCAACACCCUUGCUCAAGUAGGGCCACCUGGAGCAUAUUGCCCAGACAACCAUGUCCAGACGACUUCUGAAGAUCUCCAAGGAGGGAGUCUGCACAACUUUUCAAGGCAACCUCUUUCAGUGCUCAGUCACCUGUGGAGUCACGAAUUGCUUCCUGAUGCUCACGAGGAACCUCCUGUGUUUCAUAUUGUGCCCGUUGCCUCUUGUCCUGUCACUGGGCACCACUGAAAGGAGCCUAUCUUCACCGUCUUUACACCUUCAAUAGGGGCACAUUGAUGUGUACAACCCACCUGAGCCUUUUCCCCAGGCUGAACAGCCCUAGCUCUCUCGGUCUUUCAUCAUAGGAGAGACACUCCAGACACUUCAUCAUGUUUGUGGCCCUCUGCUGGACUCUCCCCACUAUGUCCAUCUAUCUCCUGGGGAACCUAGCACUGGACACAGUACUCCAGGUGUGGCCACACCAGCACUGAGAAGAGGCAAAGGAUCACCUCCCUUGACUUGCUGACAGUACUUUACCUGAUGCUGCUCAGGAUACUAUUCACCUUCUUUGCCAAAAGGGUGCUUUGCUUGGUUACAGCCGACUUGUUUUCUCACAGGACUCCCAGGUCCUUUUCUGCCAAAUUGCCUUUUCUGCAAAGCUUACUUAAAUAUUUGGUGAGGAGAAGGCUUUUGGCUAACUUUUUACCACGCAGGGCAUCUGAUUAAAAUCAAAUAUGAGGAAAAUUUCAUUCAAAAUUGUAGAGCUGUUUCUGAAAAUGCAGAGUAUGGGGAAAAUAUUUGCUAUUUAAAACAGUUCUAAUGGCCUUUCUUUCACAAAGGCCAUAAAGCCCCUUGGCUUCUUUGUGGAGAAUAGUUUAAAAUUUAGCAGGAGGAAGGCCUUGCAUUGAAGACAUCUAUUGCUCAUACUGUGAAAAUGAGACUAAAUAUGUUUAUGUUACAGGUCUCUGAGCCUGCAGCUCAACUGAAAUCUAGGGUACAAGCAUUUUCGCACAUUUUCACAGGCUGUAUGUGAAUAUGUACAUAUGUCAGAGAAGAAGAUACUUCCUCUUCUGGUUGCACGAGCCAAAGUGAAAUUAUUCACAAACUGAUACUACAUCUGAAUCCUACCGUCAUGUUUUCAACUGUACAUGUGCAAAGGUGGGGUGAAUGAGGGAGCUGUGCAAUUCAAAUGGAGGUCAAGCACCAGCUACAACAGAUCAAGAGAGCUGUUUGCCAAUUUUCAUCAAGUUAAAGAAAAUUCCCAUUUAUUUGGAGACUGUGUCUGAACAGUCCAUAGAAAGGCAACAAGAUCUCUGCGUUUGUAAUAAAAAGAGAAAGAAGAGGACCCUUUACAGAGUAAUCAGAGAGACGAGAAAGAGACACUUGGGCAGUGAGGGGGCUGAAUCCGCUUCUCCGACACUUCAUUUGCAAGUUGUCUCUGAUAAUUAUUUACAAAGUCUUCUGGUUUGUGGUUGAAGAAGAAAACUGUUUCCUUACAGCAGAAGAAUUUUUUAGGCUCCCUGGUCUGUCAAGAGAUGACAACUUUGCGCACAUUCUGGAAGAUGUGAAUUGUUUUCUGUGAAAGUGCUUAUUUUUCUCUCUUCUUAGAAAGACUGUUGUCUAAAUUUAGUACACGUAGCUAAUGUCCAGAAUCUUUCUAAUUAACUACUUUAAACCUGUGGUCCAUUGACAGAUUAACUCUGCAGCCUGGUAUUGAAGGCAUUGAGCUGGUUUGGAAGUGUCACGGGAAUCUGAAUAGGAGUAUUCAUUUGUAUAUGCUAUGUCUCAACUUGUUGUGCUUAAAUCUCAAAUGAUCUUUUUUUUUUUUUUUUCUAUUUUUAUUUUCCUCCUGUUAUAAAGCAGGAAAAGAAUGUGAUGGUUUGAAAUUUUUGAGAUAACUAUUGCUAUGAGCUAUAGUCAUACAUACAUUGUAUCUGUUGUCUUUAUUUAUUAAAAAUGAUUGUUUCUUAACACUCACUCAAUUUGUAGCCUCAAAUCAGGUCCAGCCAUUAAAUAAAUAAAUAAAUAAAUACAUAAAUAAAUAAAUUAUCAUGUCUAUAUUUUGAAUAAUAAUCAGUUAUCAUUAAUGCUUAUUAAGAUGUUAUUUUUACCCAUUAAAAUUAUGGUACCAAAUUUAUUCAUUUUUUAAUGUCUGUUUAAAGAGCAUAGCCUUCUGGCUACUUUGGUCUGAACAACAAUGAAAUGCUGCAUUCUUCUUAAAAUCUGCUUGCUAUGGCUUGAAUUGUGGGUAAGCAGAAUUGACAGAGUCUACUGUGCUGCGGAGUGAAGAUUGCCAAAAAAGAGUGUCCUAAGAAUUCAAGCUCCUUAUGGAGUGCAUACAACUGCCCAAGAGUUACUGAUGCAGUUGACGAUACUGCUAUAUUACCCAAAUUAAGAACUUUGUUUGCACAGUAUGAUCUGUAAUCUCAUAUUAAACGAAUGGGUCAUGAUGAGUGUGAUAU